AGCAGCCGCGGUAAUUCCAGCUCCAAUAGCGUAUAUUAAAGUUGUUGCAGUUAAAAAGCUCGUAGUUGAAUUUCGGGAUCAAUUUAUUGGUCGUGCAAUAGUACGUACUGGUAUUAUUAGUUCCUACCUUCUGAUGAACCAUGAUGUCAUUAAUUUGGUGUUAUGGGGAAUCAGGACUGUUACUUUGAAAAAUUAGAGUGUUUAAAGCAGGCUCACGCUUGAAUACAUUAGCAUGGAAUAAUGAAAUAGGACGUUUGAUUCUAUUUUGUUGGUUUCUAGGAUCGACGUAAUGAUUAAUAGGGAUAGUUGGGGGCAUUAGUAUUCAAUUGUCAGAGGUGAAAUUCUUGGAUUUAUUGAAGACUAACUACUGCGAAAGCAUUUGCCAAGGAUGUUUUCAUUAAUCAAGAACGAAAGUUAGGGGAUCGAAGACGAUCAGAUACCGUCGUAGUCUUAACCAUAAACUAUGCCGACUAGGGAUCGGAUGAUGUUAAUUUUAUAAUGACUCAUUC
rnacentral:rRNA from 1 species